AAGUCGAGGGGCAGCAUGGUCUUAGCUUGCUAAGGCCGAUGGCGACCGGCGCACGGGUGAGUAACGCGUAUCCAACCUGCCUGUUACCACGGCACAGCCCGUCGAAAGGCGGAUUAAUGCCGUAUGUGGUCCUUUGCGGGCAUCUAAUUAGGACUAAAGGUUCAGCGGUAACGGAUGGGGAUGCGUCCGAUUAGCUAGACGGCGGGGUAACGGCCCACCGUGGCUACGAUCGGUAGGGGUUCUGAGAGGAAGGUCCCCACAUUGGAACUGAGACACGGUCCAAACUCC
rnacentral:rRNA from 1 species